GGGGAAUAUUGGGCAAUGGACGCAAGUCUGACCCAGCAACGCCGCGUGAAGGAAGAAGGCUUUCGGGUUGUAAACUUCUUUUGUCAGGGAAGAGCAGAAGACGGUACCUGACGAAUAAGCCACGGCUAACUACGUGCCAGCAGCCGCGGUAAUACGUAGAUGGCAAGCGUUGUCCGGAUUUACUGGGUGUAAAGGGCGUGCAGCCGGGCCGGCAAGUCAGAUGUGAAAUCCAUGGGCUCAACCCAUGAACUGCUUUCAAAACUGUUUUUCUUGAGUAGUGCAGAGGUAGGCGGAAUUCCCGGUGUAGCGGUGGAAUGCGUAGAUAUCGGGAGGAACACCAGUGGCGAAGGCGGCCUACUGGGCACCAACUGACGCUGAGGCUCGAAAGUGUGGGUAGCAAACAGGAUUAGAUACCCUGGUAGUCCACACCGUAAACGAUGAUUACUAGGUGUUGGAGGAUUGACCCCUUCAGUGCCGCAGUUAACACAAUAAGUAAUCCACCUGGGGAGUACGACCGCAAGGUUGAAACUCAAAGGAAUUGACGGGGGCCCGCACAAGCAGUGGAGUAUGUGGUUUAAUUCGACGCAACGCGAAGAACCUUACCAAGUCUUGACAUCCCUUGACAGACAUAAAAAUAUGUAUUCUCUUCGGAGCAAGGAGACAGGUGGUGCAUGGUUGUCGUCAGCUCGUGUCGUGAGAUGUUGGGUUAAGCCCCGCAACGAGCGCAACCCUUGCUAUUAGUUGCUACGCAAGAGCACUCUAAUAGGACUGCCGUUGACAAAACGGAGGAAGGUGGGGACGACGUCAAAUCAUCAUGCCCCUUAUGACCUGGGCUACACACGUACUACAAUGGAUGUUAACAGAGGGAAGCAAGACAGUGAUGUGGAGCAAACCCCUAAAAACAUUCUCAGUUCAGAUUGCAGGCUGCAACCCGCCUGCAUGAAGAUGGAAUUGCUAGUAAUCGCGGAUCAGAAUGCCGCGGUGAAUACGUUCCCG
rnacentral:rRNA from 1 species